UACAGAGGGUGCGAGCGUUAAUCGGAAUUACUGGGCGUAAAGCGUGCGUAGACGGUUAUCUAAGUCGGAUGUGAAAGCCCCGGGCUCAACCUGGGAAUUGCAUUCGAGACUGAAUAGCUAGGGUGCGGUAGAGGGAAGCGGAAUUUCCGGUGUAGCGGUGAAAUGCGUAGAUAUCUGGAGGAACACCGGUGGCGAAGGCGGCAUCCUGGACCGGCAUUGACGCUGAGGAGCGAAAGCCAGGGGAGCAAACGGG
rnacentral:rRNA from 1 species